rnacentral:rRNA from 1 species
GUAUACCAGUGAGUAUGCGAGGGCAAAGCUUCGUGUACGCGAGGGAAAGAGCCCAGAUCACAAAUUAAGGUCCCUAAAUUAAAGCUAAGUGUUAAAGGAGGUAUUUUGCCUUAGACAGGUAGGAGGUUGGCUUAGAAGCAGCCACCCUUUAAAGAGUGCGUAACAGCUCACUACUCGAUUCCGAUUUAUCGGAGAGGCGCGAUGCGCCGAAAAUGUAUUGGGGCUAAGUUUACUACCGAAAGCGUGGAUGCCGUGCUUUGCACGGAAUUUUUAAGUAAUAAUUUUUAGUUUUUAAAAAUUAAAAAUUCAAAAUUGAAAAUU